CACACUCCAAGCGAAGCUUGAUGUUGGACGAUGCGGUCCUUUCGGGGACCGCACGUCUGGAACGUGUUGGCGCCUGCCGCCGGACCACGAGCGUAGCAAGACACCAUGUCAAUUCGUUCUGUGGGUUCCGACGGGGGGCGGCCUCAACCUUUUCUGUCUCAGAAA
rnacentral:misc_RNA from 1 species